UGCGAGAGACAUAAGAGUACACGGUGGAUGCCUUGGCCUAGGACGGCUAUGAAGGACGCGACUAACCUGCGAAAAGCUUCGGGGAGGCGGUUUGUAGCCUUUGAUCCGGAGAUAUCCGAAUGGGGAAACCCUACAG
rnacentral:rRNA from 1 species